ACUGAAAAGUGCUGCGCGCGCCUGCAUGUGCGCAUGGAGGCCACGUGUGUGCGCGCCUCUGUGUGUACACCAAGGGCCAACUGAAUGCAUAUCUGUGUGCAUGCGCAGGGAAUAGAGGGCCACGUGUUUGCCUGUGUGUGUGUGUGUGUGUGUGUGUGUGUGUGUGAUACCUGCCAACGGAGAAAGAUCUGUGGUGUGUGCCAUACCUGCAGGUACACAUAGAAGAGUAACGUGGGCACACCUGUGUAUAUGCAGAUAGUAUAGCUGUAUACACGUGCAUAUGCAGAGUAUGAGUCGGGCGUGCACGCCUGAACAUGUAUACAGAAAACCCUCUGUACAUACAACUAUGUAUAUUUGUGUUUAAUGUCUGCACAGAAUACAGGUAUGUGUGUACGAAUAGAGGGGCCAGCUAUGUGCGCAUGAGGAAAAAGAGGUCAGUUGUAGGAGUGCCUUAACGUACCUGUAUGUGCACCCCCAGCAGAGGAGUUUUGUACAUUUACACAGGCCAUAGUGAAGACUGUUGGGAUGCACACACGUAUUGGACACUGCAGAGACAUAGAGAGCCUGCCACUAUUCAGCUAUUGACGUCCACAGCCACAUGGCCUGAACUUGGGUUGUCAGUGAUUCAGGGCAGGAAGCAUCCUGAAAGGGUGUUUGCUCCUGUCAUUUCAGAGUCUGUAGGCUUCAUCCCAGGAGGGGUCUGGUAGACCCUGAGGCCUGAAGACAGUCCACAUUGGAGACCUCUACCUUAGGACUAAAGCUGGAGAGCCUGGGGAGAGAAUAGGCUAGGCCUCCCAAAUCAGUCCAAAUGGUUUGGGUAAAGUGACCCAGCUUUGCCCAACAAUAUAUGGCUCAAGAGUAGAGUGCUGUUAAAUGCUAUCAGAGAACUGUGGAUGUGAGUGACGGGAUGUUUAGUGUAAGCACCCUUUACAUGGUUGUCUUUCCUUUAAAUAAGCUAAGAUGUUGAGGGACAGGCCAAUUUGACUCCCAGAUUGACACAUCCUUCUCUGUUGCCUAGCUGCCUUGGCCAUAGGACUCAGCCAAACAGCCCUUCCUUCUUUAGCAUCUGACUGGACCAUCCUGGCCGCUAUCCUGUUCUGAGCACUCCUUAGAUGCCAUGAGGAAGCUAUACUGCAAACCACAGCUGCUUAUGCUAAAGCAAAACCAUGAUUCCAGAAGGCAAUAUUCAAGGUAACAGGAAAACAAAAGAAAACCACCAUCCUGGUCUCUAAGAUGGGAAGUGGCACCUGCCUCUUGUGUAUAUUUAACAAGGGCAAGUUUCUUAACUACAUGGAGUGACUUCACAUGACAACAGCCAUUAACUCAAUUCACUGGAGGAUACAGACAGAACUCAAAGUGUUCUCGGGAAGCCAUAUUGACAGGAUGCAGAAACCAGGCUGAACAGAGGAACCAGAGAAUGCACAAAAUGUGUGGUCUGGGGGGAAGGGUCAAGAUGGAUUGAUUUCUGCUUUUAAUCUGUGAUAAACAGACCUGUUUCUUGGGUGAUGAGUAAGCAAGACACACUACAAUAAAUGGACUUCAAAGAAGACACACUCUCCAAUA